rnacentral:rRNA from 1 species
UACGAAGGGUGCAAGCGUUACUCGGAAUUACUGGGCGUAAAGCGUGCGUAGGCGGUUUGUUAAGUCUGUCGUGAAAGCCCCGGGCUCAACCUGGGAAUGGCGAUGGAAACUGGCUAGCUAGAGUACGGUAUAGGAGAGUGGAAUUCCCGGUGUAGCAGUGAAAUGCGUAGAGAUCGGGAGGAACAUCAGUUGCGAAGGCGGCUCUCUGGACCAGUACUGACGCUGAGGCACGAAAGCGUGGGGAGCAAACAGG